GGCAUGCCUGUUCGAGCGUCAUUAUGACCAAUCACGCAAGUGGUAUUGGGGAUUGCUAUCGGCAUCUCUUAAAAACAGUGGCGGUGCUAUAGGCUCUCAGCGCAGUAAUUAUUUCGCUCUUGAGUUCUAGACACACUUGCCAGAAACCCAAUUUUCUUAAGGUUGACCUCGGAUCAGGUAGGGAUACCCGCUGAACUUAA
rnacentral:misc_RNA from 1 species